rnacentral:lncRNA from 1 species
UAGGCUCGAAUUUUCAUAGGGUGUCAUCUUCUCGGAUAGUCUCAGGCCAACAUUUUUUAUUUAUUGAUAUAUCAAUUUUUUCUAAUAAAUUAGAGUUGAGGGAUCUAAAUGUACAAUAUUCUUGGUACAUGUAGAUGUUUGUUGAAGUGAACUUUUGUUAGCGUGUCAAUAUAUAUCAAAUUAAGAUAACAAAUUUUAUUGAGGUAAGUGCAUUAUCUUUCUUACUCUUCACUUUAUUUUAGUAGUUUUACUCUUUUAAUUGUUUUUUUAUUAAUGUUUAAGUUUUUUUCUCUUUUAAGUACAAGUUGUGUAGAAACUUAUGUAAUUAGAUUUAGUUAAACUCAUUUCCCAUGAAAUAUUAUCUUAAUAUACACAUUAAAAAAAUAUAUGAGUACAAUAGUUAUGGAGCAUUGGAUGAUAAGUUAGUGAUCAUUGAUACUUUAAUUCUUUUGUUGUACACAAAAUCGUACCACAAUUUUGUAUGCUCGUGAUAGACAUUGUGAAUCUUGCUUAGCUCUGCAUCUAAACUUGCUACUCAUGUUAAUUGUUCGUGAUUGACUCACGUUCAAAUGUAGUUCCUAUUGUAAUUUGUUACUUACCACAAAUGAUAAUCUCCAAUUAAGUAGGUAGUACAUAUGUUUGGUAUGGAAUUUAGGAUAUGUUUGGUGUGAAUUUGGAAACAAAAGAUUUUAUGAAAAUAAAGUUGUAUUAAUUACGUGAUGUUUUUAUGUAUGUGUUUGAUAAUAAAUCCAAAAAUUAGAUUCUAGUAAAAUGUUGUUGAUAUUGUAUUUAUAAAUUGUAAAACUAAUUGUUGUUACCUACUAAAUAUUAAAUUGUUUAAACUAUUAUUAACUAAUUUGUGCACGAGUUUUAUCAUGUUAAAAAAGUGUAUAAAUAAUUUUUUAUAAUAGCAUAUAUAAUUUGAGAAAAUUAUUUUAAAUGAUUUUCUUUUGAAAAUAUAGACACAUAAUAUAAUCUAUUAUAGUUUAUCGUGAAUAGAUUAUAAUAUUUUACAUAUUUUUAAAAGUUUUAUCAUUUAAAAUAAUUUUUGUAAAGUUUAUAACAUAAAAUAUUCCUAAAUAUUUAUAUUUAUAUUUGAUAUAAUUUUGCUUUUUAAAAUUUAAAAUUCAAAAUCUAAAUAUACUAAAAACAUUAAAAAGAAUAUAUUGUUUUCAAAAGUUAAGCAGUUUGAAUCAUAGAAUAAAAAAUUAAGUUUCAAAACAAAAUUUAGAUAGUCUAUUUAAUCUAUCACAUAAUUUAAUUUCCACCGAGUUUUAAACAUGUAAAAUAUAGCCAUAUAAAGUCUUCAAAUAUUAGAAUUUAUGUUACUAAAAUUUGUAUCUGGUCAUAAACACUUCAUAGAGUAGCAUAGAUACGUUAGCCCCAUCAAGGCAAUCUUCUAAACACAUUGUCUCUAAUACACAAUCAUUCUACAACUAUUCAUUGUUUCAAUUUAACUAUACAUCAUUUUUAAAAUGAAUAAUUUGAUCAUAUAGCAACUUUUAAAGUUGCAUUUGGAAUUAUGGAAGAAAAAAAAAACAUUAGAUUUAAAGUGUUUCAUGUAUUCAACUAUUAGAGCCUUGAAUCCCAAUAAAGUCAGCCAUAUUCCUAUUUCCCCGUUCCUUUCCAUCUUAAAGAUGAAGGCUUGUUGAGUUCUUGAACCUGAGGGGAUGUAAGUUGUUGAUUCUAGCUUUAUGCAGUUGCAAGUGAGUUGCAACGAUGAUCCAAAUCCGCAUCCGAAUCCGAACCCGAACUGAGGACAUUUUUUCUCUAUUUGAAAUUUACAUUUAUACACUUUUGUCGUCCCAAUUUGAGGACUAUACAUAGAGGCCUUUUAUAUACAGAACUUUAUGGUAAUUAAUUUUCCUAACCUAUAUUUUUUUCUCAAUGAAAAUUGAAGGGGAAAAAGAAAAGAACGGAAAAGGAAAGAAAAACUCUGUAAAGCGCAAAUAAAUAUGAAAAAGAAAAGGAAAGGAAAGUUCCCUUCGAAAUUACUGCCAUCUUCUACCAGACUUGAGUCCCGUUACAGUUUU